UACGUAGGGGGCAAGCGUUGUCCGGAUUUAUUGGGCGUAAAGAGCGUGUAGGCGGCCACACAGGUCCGCUGUGAAAACUCGAGGCUCAACCUCGAGCUGUCGGUGGAAACCGUGUGGCUAUAGUCCGGAAGAGGAGAGUGGAAUUCCCGGUGUAGCGGUGAAAUGCGCAGAUAUCGGGAAGAACACCCGUGGCGAAGGCGGCUCUCUGGGACGGUACUGACGCUGAGACGCGAAAGCGUGGGGAGCGAACAGG
rnacentral:rRNA from 1 species